AUUGAACGCUGGCGGCAGGCCUAACACAUGCAAGUCGAACGAGUGGCGGCCGGGUGCGUAAUGCCUUGGAAACUGCCUGAUGGAGGGGGAUAACUACUGGAAACGGUAGCUAAUACCGCAUACCAUCAGAUGUGCCCCGAUGGGAUUAGCUAGUAGGUGGGGUAAUGGCUCACCUGGGCGACGAGCCCUAGCUGGUCUGAGAGGAAGACCAGCCACGCUGGAAGUGAGACACGGUCCCGACUCCUACGGUAGUGAGAAGGGGGGAAUAUUGCACAAGGGGAUCAAGCCUGAUGCAGCCAUGCCGCGUGUGUGAAGAAGACCUUCGGGUUGUAAAGCACUUUCAGCGGGGAGGCGUUACCCGCAGAAGAAGCACCGGCUAACUCCGUGCCAGCAGCCGCGGUAAUUC
rnacentral:rRNA from 1 species